rnacentral:rRNA from 1 species
GACAGAGGGUGCAAACGUUGCUCGGAAUUAUUGGGCGUAAAGGGCUCGUAGGCGGUCUGUUGCGUCGGGAGUGAAAACUUACAGCUUAACUGUGAGCGUGCUUCCGAUACGGGCAGACUUGAGGUAUUCAGGGGAGAACGGAAUUCCUGGUGUAGCGGUGAAAUGCGCAGAUAUCAGGAGGAACACCGGUGGCGAAGGCGGUUCUCUGGGAAUAUCCUGACGCUGAGGAGCGAAAGUGUGGGGAGCGAACAGG